rnacentral:rRNA from 1 species
GACGAACGCUGGCGGCGUGCUUAACACAUGCAAGUCGAACGCUGAACCCGCUUCGGUGGGGGAUGAGUGGCGAACGGGUGAGUAACACGUGGGCAACCUGCCCCCGGCUCUGGGAUAACUCCAAGAAAUUGGGGCUAAUACCGGAUGUGACCGCUGGCCGCAUGGUCUGGUGGUGGAAAGGGUUUCCGGCUGGGGAUGGGCCCGCGGCCUAUCAGCUUGUUGGUGGGGUAGUGGCCUACCAAGGCGACGACGGGUAGCCGGCCUGAGAGGGUGACCGGCCACACUGGGACUGAGACACGGCCCAGACUCCUACGGGAGGCAGCAGUGGGGAAUAUUGCGCAAUGGGCGGAAGCCUGACGCAGCGACGCCGCGUGCGGGAUGACGGCCUUCGGGUUGUAAACCGCUUUCGCCUGUGACGAAGCGUGAGUGACGGUAAUGGGUAAAGAAGCACCGGCUAACUACGUG